UAGGGAAUCUUCGGCAAUGGGGGGAACCCUGACCGAGCAACGCCGCGUGAGUGAAGAAGGUUUUCGGAUCGUAAAGCUCUGUUGUUAAGGAAGAACGAGUGUGAGAAUGGAAAGUUCAUGCUGUGACGGUACUUAACCAGAAAGGGACGGCUAACUACGUGCCAGCAGCCGCGGUAAUACGUAGGUGGCAAGCGUUAUCCGGAAUUAUUGGGCGUAAAGCGCGCGUAGGCGGUUUUUUAAGUCUGAUGUGAAAGCCCACGGCUCAACCGUGGAGGGUCAUUGGAAACUGGAAAACUUGAGUGCAGAAGAGGAAAGUGGAAUUCCAUGUGUAGCGGUGAAAUGCGCAGAGAUAUGGAGGAACACAGUGGCGAAGGCGACUUUCUGGUCUGUAACUGACGCUGAUGUGCGAAAGCGUGGGGAUCAAACAGG
rnacentral:rRNA from 1 species